UUGGCUCGUCGCAGUUCUACUGGUUCCCAGUACAGCCACCAGGGGAGCCAUCAGUCCCAUCAUGACACUGUCACACUCACCACCAUCAAAGAGACUGUUCCUUUGCAACGCUCCCAGCCGGUUAUAAUAAACAAGGGUAUGAGGAUCUCGCAGAAACCAAAACCAACUCCGGGAUUUAGCGGCUACAUGAGACGGGUCUCUCACAAGGAGCCGGCCAGCUCACAGUACACCAGCUACGACCAGAAGUACGGCUACAUCACUGCCACCGAACUGCAGCAGAUCUGUCAUAGGGUCCAGUGGUAGUCACUAUCAAUAGAUAACUUUUGGAAUUUUCUAGCGAUUUUCAGUAGGUCUAUUAUAGGAUUUUAGUAAUUUUAAUUAGUUGUGAUUUCACAAAUUGCUCAUUACUCCGGCUGACCAAAGCGUUCAAAGUCUGAUGUAUUGCCUUCAGGUUUUUAUCGACUUUUUAUCCGUCAAAAUUAGAUGAAAACCUAGUAUAGUUAUAGUUGGAAAAUCAAAGUGUAGAUUAUGUAAAAUAUUGAAAAAUCAAAAAAAAUCCUUUAUACAUUACAAAGACCAAUAAAUAUUUAUGGACCUGA